UCUCCAGCAGCGACUUCAUUAAAAUUCAUCAACCAGGGAUAAUUAACAGGUGAUAAACUAUAAAUGCACCUCAGAAGGACCAGCUUCGAUAGUCUAAACAUCCCGACCUCCUUCCGAACAUAUACAUAGAUUUUCACUAAAAAGUUUAAUCCCUCUAAAAUUCACAUGAAUUUUCUCUAAACCGAAUAAGCCCUCGGGAACAGAAGAGAAUACCAUCAUAAUUCAGAAAUGAAACAGUGGAAUUGGAAUUCAGAAGCAAGGAUACCAAUGGCAUUUGCCAAAUUCCAUUUAUGUCCUCACAUGAGGGCCAUUACACCUCAGCCACACUGCUUUAGUGGCCCAGGGGCAAAAUCGUCAUGUGCACUAGCAACAAUCCAAUAAUCCUACACCAGAAUAUACACGGGGGGAGGGGAGGAUGCCAUGUCUCGCUCUACGAGGAGAGGUGCAAUUCCGAGAAUGCCCCCCGGCUCCGGCGCCCCCACGGCGACG
rnacentral:lncRNA from 1 species